UACGAAGGGUGCUAGCGUUGUUCGGAAUCACUGGGCGUAAAGCGCGCGUAGGCGGCUUGACAAGUCAGAGGUGAAAUCCCAGAGCUUAACUCUGGAACUGCCUUUGAAACUGUCAAGCUGGAGUGUCGGAGGGGAUGGCGGAAUUGCUAAUGUAGAGGUGAAAUUCGUAGAUAUUAGCAGGAACACCGGUGGCGAAGGCGGCCAUCUGGACGACAACUGACGCUGAGGCGCGAAAGCGUGGGGAGCAAACAGG
rnacentral:rRNA from 1 species